AAUCAACGCUGGCGGCGUGCCUAACACAUGCAAGUCGAACGCGAAAGUGGAGCAAUCCAUGAGUAGAGUGGCAAACGGGUGAGUAACGCGUGGGCGACCUACCUCAGAGUGGGGGAUAACCUUCCGAAAGGAGGGCUAAUACCGCAUGACAUACCGUGUUUGGAUACACGGAUAUCAAAGCCGGGGAUCGCAAGACCUGGCGCUUGGAGAGGGGCCCGCGUCCGAUUAGCUAGUUGGUGAGGUAACGGCUCACCAAGGCUCCGAUCGGUAUCCGGCCUGAGAGGGCGGACGGACACACUGGAACUGAGACACGGUCCAGACUCCUACGGGAGGCAGCAGUGGGGAAUUGUUCGCAAUGGGCGCAAGCCUGACGACGCAACGCCGCGUGGAGGAUGAAGACUUUCGGGUCGUAAACUCCUUUCGACCGAGAUGAAUUUCCCACGACCUAACACGUCGUGGGAGUGACAGUAUCGAGGGAAGAAGCCCCGGCUAACUCCGUGCCAGCAGCCGCGGUAAUACGGGGGGGGCAAGCGUUGUUCGGAAUUACUGGGCGUAAAGGGUUUGUAGGUGGCUUGCUAAGUCAGACGUGAAAUCCCUCAGCUUAACUGGGGAACUGCGUCUGAUACUGGCGAGCUUGAGUGCAGGAGAGGAACGCGGAAUUCCAGGUGUAGCGGUGAAAUGCGUAGAUAUCUGGAGGAACACCGGUGGCGAAGGCGGCGUUCUGGACUGUAACUGACACUGAGAAACGAAAGCCAGGGUAGCAAACGGGAUUAGAUACCCCGGUAGUCCUGGCCCUAAACGAUGAAUGCUUGGUGUGGCGGGUAUCGAUCCCUGCCGUGCCGAAGUUAACGCGAUAAGCAUUCCGCCUGGGGGAGUACGGUCGCAAGGCUG
rnacentral:rRNA from 1 species